rnacentral:rRNA from 1 species
CCUACGAGAGGCAGCAGUGGGGAAUAUUGGACAAUGGGGGAAACCCUGAUCCAGCGACGCCGCGUGCGUGAAGAAGUAUUUCGGUACGUAAAGCUCUAUCAGCAGGAAAGAAAAUGACGGUACCUGACUAAGAAGCCCCGGCUAACUAAGUGCCAGCAGCCGGGGUAAUACGUAGGGGGCAAGCUUUAUCCGGAUUUACUGGGUGUAAAGGGAGCGUAGACGGCAGCGCAAGUCUGGAGUGAAAUGCCUGGGCCCAACCCCGGAAAUGCGUGGGAAAAGGUGAAGCUGGAGUGCAGGAGAGGUAAGCGGAAUUCCUGGUGUAGCGGUGAAAUGCGUAGAUAGCAGGAGGAACACCGGCGGCGAAGGCGGCUUACUGGACUGUAACUGACGUUGAGGCUCGAAGGCGUGGGGAGCAAACAGGAUUAGAUACCCCAGUAGUC